rnacentral:rRNA from 1 species
GAUGAACGCUAGCGGCAGGCCUAAUACAUGCAAGUCGAGGGGUAGAAGAGGCUUGCUUCUUUGAGACCGGCGCACGGGUGCGUAACGCGUAUGCAACCUACCUUCAUCUGGGGGAUAGCCCGGAGAAAUCCGGAUUAAUACCGCAUAAAAUCACAGGAUGGCAUUAUCCAAUGAUCAAACAUUUAUGGGAUGGAGAUGGGCAUGCGUGUCAUUAGCUAGUUGGCGGGGUAACGGCCCACCAAGGCGACGAUGACUAGGGGAUCUGAGAGGAUGGCCCCCCACACUGGUACUGAGACACGGACCAGACUCCUACGGGAGGCAGCAGUAAGGAAUAUCGGUCAAUGGAGGCAACUCUGAACCAGCCAUGCCGCGUGCAGGAAGACUGCCCUAUGGGUUGUAAACUGCUUUUAUUCGGGAAUAAACCUUAUUACGUGUAAUAAGCUGAAUGUACCGAAGGAAUAAGGAUCGGCUAACUCCGUGUCAGCAGCCGCCGUAA